rnacentral:rRNA from 1 species
CACGUAGGGUGCGAGCGUUGUCCGGAAUUAUUGGGCGUAAAGAGCUCGUAGGCGGCUUGUCGCGUCGACUGUGAAAACUCGGGGCUCAACUCCGAGCUUGCAGUCGAUACGGGCAGGCUAGAGUUCGGUAGGGGAGACUGGAAUUCCUGGUGUAGCGGUGAAAUGCGCAGAUAUCAGGAGGAACACCGGUGGCGAAGGCGGGUCUCUGGGCCGAUACUGACGCUGAGGAGCGAAAGCGUGGGGAGCGAACAGG